rnacentral:lncRNA from 1 species
AUGAGCUCCCCAAUAUCUCCUGGGAUGAUAGGCUGCGUCAGGAAAAGCUGUGAAUCCUUGCAGCUGCCCCAGAGCACCCAGCUCUGCUUGCAGUCACUCAUGGUUUCUCUUCUGGUUUGUGCUAAAGAAAUGCAGCGGGAAAAAGCUCUGCAGAGGAACACAGAACGUAUCUUGCAAAUAGAUGUGAAUGAGUAUUAUGCCCAGCUUGAGAAGAAGAAAGCAGAAAUGGAUAAAAUAAUACUGGGAAGGAAGCACAUACGGAGGCAAAAUUUGCUGAAGUGGCUGGUUCAAAGGCAUCAGCGGGAAGUAAAAGCCUUAGAGGAGGAGGAGAGGCAGAAGGAGGAAGAAAGGCGGAAGGAGGAAGAGAGGCGGAAGGAGGACAAGAAGGGUGUCUCUGUGGGUAUCCAACCUCCAAAACCAGAGAAGGGGAAAACCAAACCCCCAGAGAAGGGGGAAACCAAAUCACCAGAGGGGAAGGAAACCAAGGCCCCAGAGAAGGAAAACAAAGCCCCAGAGAAGAAAAGCAAACCUUCAGAAAAGAAGGAAACCAAAAUACCAGAGAAGAAAAACAAACCUCCAGAAAAGAAGGAAACCAAAAUACCAGAGAAGAAGGAAACCAAAAUCUCAAAGAAGGAAACCAAAAUCCCAGAGAAGGAGGAAAGCAAAAUCCUAAAGAAGGAAACCAAACCCCCAGAGAAGAAAAGCAAACCUCCAGAAAAGGAAACCAAAUCCCCAGAGUGGAAGGAAUCCAAAAUCCCAGUGAAGGAAACCAAAGCUCCAAAGAAGGGGGAAGUAAAAGCCCCAGAGAAGAUGGAACCCAAAGCCCGAAAGACAGGUGAAACCAAGACCUCAAAGAAGGGUGAAAGCAAAGCCCCAGAGAACAGGGGAACCAAAGCCCCAAAGAAGGCGGGAACCAAAGUCCCAAAUAUGGGGGGAACCAAAAUCUCAGAGGAUGCAGCUGAGAUAGAGAACUUGUUCCUGAGGUUUCAGACGUAUGAGUCAUUGCAGCAGAAUUUCUCCUACUGGAACAGGGUUCAGGGUACCGUGCGGUCACCUGUUAUCCAAAAGAGAAACAAGUCCCAGUAUGCAGCUGAAAACAAAGGUCAGAAGACCAAUAAGCCUCAGGAGAAGGUGAAGAAGCCCGAACAAAAAAUGUAGAGACCAAAGGAAUCUUUAAUCGUCUCAGCUGGAGGUGCAAAGUUGCAGAGGGAGCAGUCAGAUGAUGAUGUUCCACAAUGACUGGGUAUCAUCUGUGUUGAUAGGAAGGUUACCACCUCUGGGGACUCAGUUUCUUCACGCAGGGAAAGACCAUUCUUUAUUCACUCUACUUAGUUUAUACAGUUUCAGACUUUGUGAGCAACUUUAAUUAGUUAAUAGAUUUGUUUCUUAUUAUUCUAUUGAUUAAUAAAAUAUAUUUUACUUGUACA